UACAGAGGGGGCAAGCGUUGCUCGGAAUUACUGGGCGUAAAGGGCGCGUAGGCGGCCCGCUAAGUCGAACGUGAAAUCCCCGAGCUCAACUCGGGAACUGCGUCCGAUACUGGCGGGCUUGAAUCCGGGAGAGGGAUGCGGAAUUCCAGGUGUAGCGGUGAAAUGCGUAGAUAUCUGGAGGAACACCGGUGGCGAAGGCGGCAUCCUGGACCGGCAUUGACGCUGAGGCGCGAAAGCUAGGGGAGCAAACGGG
rnacentral:rRNA from 1 species